ensembl:lncRNA LINC01029 long intergenic non-protein coding RNA 1029
GGCUCUUUUUGCCUGCCGCCAUCCACGUAAGGUAUGAUUUGCCCCUCCUUGCCUUCUGCCAUGAUUGUGAGGCCUCCCCAGCCACGUGAAACUGAUCACAGGGCUCAGUUGAAGUCCAAGACUGUCAGAGGUGUGGAUAAAGUUAAAAUAUUUAACCUUCUCAUGUAAACAUAAGAGCCUGAUUAAUUUUGAGACAUGAGCUUUGGACCCAGACCUGAGCUGGACUCUUGCUUCACUUCACUUCACCGAGCUGCGUGGGCUUGGAGGGAUGUUAAACGACGCUUAGACGGGGGCGCACGGUGACAGAUGCGGCCCCGGCACAGGGGCACUGGCGUUGAGAUUCCACAUCAGCAUCGGUGGGAACCUGGGAGAACUAUUGCGCCUUUUGCAGACCCAGCCUGGAUUCUAUUUUUAGUUUUCUAAUCCUGUAAUACUCUUUCCUAGGGAUCUGCAUCCAAUAUCCUUGAAGUAUCAAAAUUUGCUUCCUCUGAAAUGAAUGGAUAUAAAA